UACGUAGGGUGCAAGCGUUAAUCGGAAUUACUGGGCGUAAAGCGUGCGCAGGCGGCUAUGCAAGACAGAUGUGAAAUCCCUGGGCUUAACCUAGGAACUGCAUUUGUGACUGCAUUGCUAGAGUGUGGUAGAGGGAGAUGGAAUUCCGCAUGUAGCAGUGAAAUGCGUAGAUAUGCGGAGGAACACCAAUGGCGAAGGCAGCUCGCUGGGACGGUACUGACGCUGAGACGCGAAAGCGUGGGGAGCAAACAGG
rnacentral:rRNA from 1 species